rnacentral:rRNA from 1 species
UGGGGAAUUUUGGACAAUGGGCGCAAGCCUGAUCCAGCCAUGCCGCGUGUGUGAAGAAGGCCUUCGGGUUGUAAAGCACUUUCGGACGGAACGAAAUCGCGCGGACGAACAUUCCGCGUGGACGACGGUACCGUAAGAAGAAGCACCGGCUAACUACGUGCCAGCAGCCGCGGUAAUACGUAGGGUGCGAGCGUUAAUCGGAAUUACUGGGCGUAAAGGGUGCGCAGGCGGCCCCGCAAGUCAGACGUGAAAUCCCCGAGCUCAACUUGGGAAUGGCGUUUGAAACUACGGGGCUGGAGUGUGGCAGAGGGAGGUGGAAUUCCACGUGUAGCGGUGAAAUGCGUAGAGAUGUGGAGGAACACCAAUGGCGAAGGCAGCCUCCUGGGCCAACACUGACGCUCAUGCACGAAAGCGUGGGGAGCAAACAGGAUUAGAUACCCUGGUAGUCCACGCCCUAAACGAUGAUGACUAGUUGUUGGAGGAGUUAAAUCCUUUAGUAACGCAGCUAACGCGUGAAGUCAUCCGCCUGGGGAGUACGGUCGCAAGAUUAA